GACGAACGCUGGCGGCGUGCCUAACACAUGCAAGUCGAACGGAGAUACGAUUUCGGUUGUAUCUUAGUGGCGAACGGGUGAGUAACGCGUGAACAACCUGACUCUAAGAGGGGGAUAACACUAGGACACGGGUGAUAAUACCGCAUAAGACUACGACCCGGCAUCGGGAUGAGGUCAAAGGAGCAAUCCGCUGAGAGAGGGGUUCGCGUCCCAUGAGAUAGAUGGCGGUGUAACGGCCCACCAUGUGAACGAUGGGUAGCCGAGCUGAGAGGCUGAUCGGCCACACUGGAACUGAGACACGGUCCAGACUCCUACGGGAGGCAGCAGUGGGGAAUAUUGGGCAAUGGGCGCAAGCCUGACCCAGCAACGCCGCGUGAGGGAAGAAGGCUUUCGGGUUGUAAACCUCUGUCCUUGGUGACGAAACAAAUGACGGUAGCCAAGGAGGAAGCCCCGGCUAACUACGUGCCAGCCGCCGCAGUAAUAC
rnacentral:rRNA from 1 species